rnacentral:lncRNA from 1 species
CUGGGAGGGGGCUCCUUCCCUGGGUUCCUCCAAAUGUGACCUGUGCAGCAGGCCUGUGCUUAUGCUCAGAGCUACACCAUCACAUUGCACCAGGAAACCUUGAUUCUGGGUGUCGUUAGGACACGGCGAAGGCCCAGGCAUGCCCCGAGCCCCUGGUGACUCCACUAGGCGGGCACAGGAGUGUCUCGGAGCUGUUUUCCUCCUGAGCACCGGCCCCCUUUCCGUUCCCUGCUACCUCUGCGUUCUCACUGGGCUGAGCACCUUUGUUCUUGGCAUGGGAAUUUCCAUGUGUUGAAUAUGCUUAAAACAUUUUUUGAGAGGUUGCCUUUCUAAAUAUUUUGGUUCUUAACUCGAGAGUUUUGCUGCUUUUCAGAGGUGGUUUCCUUUUUAUGUGCUUAACUCUUGCUGGGAGAGAUCAGAGUAACCACCUGUGCCGGUGGAAUUUCAAGUCUACCACGGAGGAUAAAAGCCACAAUAGUAGCUGGAAAGAAACGAGAGCGAGAAGCCCUGUCUGCACCCCCUUCCCUGCUCUGUUUUUCUACACAGAGGGCAAAUGUGAAAGUGGAAACCAUAAUAUUGCCCCACAGAAUGAAAACAUCUGGGGUUUGGCUCCUUUUUCCUGUCUUUGGACAACAUUUAUUAUUAUCUUGAGAUCGAACACACCUAUUUUUGCCAAGCAAACGGUGGUACGAUGCCUUGGUUAAAGCUACCAUGUGGUCAGCAGAAUGGUCCCCCGAAGAUGUUCAGGCCCUCACCCUGGAAACCGUGACUGUGUUCCGUCGCGUGGGAAGAGGACUUUGCAGAUGUGAUGAAAGAUAUGGACCUCACAAUAGAGAGAUCAUCUGGAACUAUCUGGGCAGGCCCAGCUAAAUCACAUGUGCCCUCAAAAGCAAAGAACUCUCUUCACUGGAGUCCGAGAGGUGGGGCUGAAGGAGAGGUGGGAGGGAUGGAAAGGUGAGAAGGCUCCAUGGGCUGUUGGGGGCUUGCAGAGGGAGGGGCACUGAGUCCAGGAAUGCAGGUGGCCCCAAGGAGCUGAAAAGGCCUGGAACCAGUGGAGAAAUUGGGACUUACACCCUGUAGCUAUAAGGAUGUGAAUUCUCCCAACAACAUAAGUGAACUUGGAAGUGGAAUCCUUCCUGGAGCCUCCGGAAAGGGACACAGCCCUGCCAACACCUUGAUUUUGAGCUUGUGGGACCCUAAGCAAACAGCUGACUGAGCCACCCUGUGACUGGACUUCUGACCCACGGAAACUGUGACCAAUAUACGGGCGAUGUUUUAAUUUACCAACUUUCACAGCAGCAUGCUAACACGGCGAACAAAUGUCACUGUGGCUUUGGACACGUGGCUUUAGCUCUUGGGAUGCUGUUUCUUCCCCCUGAGUUUGAAGGGUUGGGUCACCCCAUCUCUGACACCUCUCCCAGCUCUCACGUUCUAGGAUUUGCUAUCAAUGAUACCAACAGUUUUUGGAGUCAGGCUUGGGAGUCAACCAGGCUGGGUUCAGGUUACCACUUCACAGCUUGAAGCUGUGCUGCUUUUUUCUGUGUUUUUGUUCCUAAUCUGUACACAGGGAUAAUAACACUGCCUUGUAAGGUUUUAACGAUUAAAUGGGAUCAUGUAU